UCACUGGGGACGUGUUGGGGACGGGUGGCCGCAUCUGGGUUCGUGGGGACCGCGUGGUCAAGUGGCUCUUCCCCGGCCCCCUCGCCGUGUUU
rnacentral:sRNA from 12 species